rnacentral:lncRNA from 1 species
UUGUCAUGUCCCUCUCAUAAUUAUUGAAAGGUUAAUGGGGUUGGAUAUGCCCUAAUAAGGCAUGGGAUCCUACAGAAGCUACUCUUAAUGUUCCCCAAUUGAAAGAGAAAAAAAGGUGGAAAAAAUAGAGCUUGCUCCCUGGAAAGGAAAACCUAUCCAAGAGCAAGUUUGUAAUAGCUGCGGGGGCCCUCAGGAUCUGUGGUUCUAGGACAUUGACUCAUAUUU